GAAGAAAUGGCUCAGCGCUUAAGAGCAUACACUGCUCUUGCAAAGGACCUGGGUUCAAUUCCCAGCUCCUCCA
rnacentral:tRNA from 1 species